GUAUUUUUAUUAGGAGAGUAGCCCGUUAAAGCCAUUUUAUGUAGCCCUAACUCGUUUGAACGCCGUCAAUGAUCUAUUUAAACAACAAUAGAUGCGUGUUUUUGCUGUCUCACAAACGAAGCAGUUUGGUUCUGUCUUUCCCUAUUCUGGAAAGAAAAAUGUCUCGAUCAUUUUCAAAAGGCUAGACAGUUUACUAAUUGCAUAUGGAAAAUUUUGUUCAGAUACAGCAGAUCAGCUGCUUGACUUGGAAACUGUAAAAGAUGGAGGAACAGAAAAUGAGAACGGUGAAAGAAUCGCUGCUUUUGGUAUGAGAGGUAUA
rnacentral:lncRNA from 1 species